GACGAACCGAGCGAACGUUAUUCGGAAUCACUGGGCUUAAAGGGCGCGUAGGCGGGCGGCCAAGUCAGGGGUGAAAGCCCCCAGCUCAACUGGGGAAGUGCCUCUGAUACUGGUCACCUCGAGGGAGAUAGGGGCGUGCGGAACUUCCGGUGGAGCGGUGAAAUGCGUAGAUAUCGGAAGGAACACCGGUGGCGAAAGCGGCGCGCUGGAUCUCUUCUGACGCUGAGGCGCGAAAGCCAGGGGAGCGAACGGG
rnacentral:rRNA from 1 species